rnacentral:rRNA from 1 species
UCAAGUGAAGAAGCGCAUACGGUGGAUGCCUUGGCAGUCAGAGGCGAUGAAAGACGUGGUAGCCUGCGAAAAGCUUCGGGGAGUCGGCAAACAGACUGUGAUCCGGAGAUGUCUGAAUGGGGGAACCCAGCCAUCAUAAGAUGGUUAUCUUGUACUGAAUACAUAGGUGCAAGAGGCGAACCAGGGGAACUGAAACAUCUAAGUACCCUGAGGAAAAGAAAUCAACCGAGAUUCCCUUAGUAGUGGCGAGCGAACGGGGACCAGCCCUUAAGUUGUAUUGAGAUUAGCGGAACGUUCUGGAAAGGACGGCCAUAGUGGGUGAUAGCCCUGUACGCGAAAAUCCCUUUGCAAUGAAAUCGAGUAGGACGGGGCACGAGAAACCUUGUCUGAAUAUGGGGGGACCAUCCUCCAAGGCUAAAUACUACUGACUGACCGAUAGUGAACCAGUACCGUGAGGGAAAGGCGAAAAGAACCGCGGAGAGCGGAGUGAAAUAGAUCCUGAAACCGUAUGCGUACAAGCAGUGGGAGCCCACUUGUUGGGUGACUGCGUACCUUUUGUAUAAUGGGUCAGCGACUUAUUUUCAGUGGCGAGCUUAACCGAAUAGGGGAGGCGUAGCGAAAGCGAGUCUUAAUAGGGCGUCUAGUCGCUGGGAAUAGACCCGAAACCGGGCGAUCUAUCCAUGGGCAGGUUGAAGGUUGGGUAACGCUAACUGGAGGACCGAACCGACUACCGUUGAAAAGUUAGCGGAUGACCUGUGGAUCGGAGUGAAAGGCUAAUCAAGCUCGGAGAUAGCUGGUUCUCCUCGAAAGCUAUUUAGGUAGCGCCUCAUGUAUCACUGUAGGGGGUAGAGCACUGUUUCGGCUAGGGGGUCAUCCCGACUUACCAAACCGAUGCAAACUCCGAAUACCUACAAGUGCCGAGCAUGGGAGACACACGGCGGGUGCUAACGUCCGUCGUGAAAAGGGAAACAACCCAGACCGUCAGCUAAGGUCCCAAAGUCAUGGUUAAGUGGGAAACGAUGUGGGAAGGCUUAGACAGCUAGGAGGUUGGCUUAGAAGCAGCCACCCUUUAAAGAAAGCGUAAUAGCUCACUAGUCGAGUCGGCCUGCGCGGAAGAUGUAACGGGGCUCAAACCAUGCACCGAAGCUACGGGUAUCAUCUUUUGAUGAUGCGGUAGAGGAGCGUUCUGUAAGCCUGUGAAGGUGAGUUGAGAAGCUUGCUGGAGGUAUCAGAAGUGCGAAUGCUGACAUGAGUAACGACAAUGGGUGUGAAAAACACCCACGCCGAAAGACCAAGGUUUCCUGCGCAACGUUAAUCGACGCAGGGUUAGUCGGUCCCUAAGGCGAGGCUGAAAAGCGUAGUCGAUGGAAAACAGGUUAAUAUUCCUGUACUUCUGGUUAUUGCGAUGGAGGGACGGAGAAGGCUAGGCCAGCCUGGCGUUGGUUGUCCAGGUUUAAGGUGGUAGGCUGAGAUCUUAGGUAAAUCCGGGAUUUCAAGGCCGAGAGCUGAUGACGAGUGUUCUUUAGAACACGAAGUGGUUGAUGCCAUGCUUCCAAGAAAAGCUUCUAAGCUUCAGGUAACCAGGAACCGUACCCCAAACCGACACAGGUGGUUGGGUAGAGAAUACCAAGGCGCUUGAGAGAACUCGGGUGAAGGAACUAGGCAAAAUGGCACCGUAACUUCGGGAGAAGGUGCGCCGGUGAGGGUGAAGCAUUUACUGCGUAAGCCCACGCCGGUCGAAGAUACCAGGCCGCUGCGACUGUUUAUUAAAAACACAGCACUCUGCAAACACGAAAGUGGACGUAUAGGGUGUGACGCCUGCCCGGUGCCGGAAGGUUAAUUGAUGGGGUUAGCGCAAGCGAAGCUCUUGAUCGAAGCCCCGGUAAACGGCGGCCGUAACUAUAACGGUCCUAAGGUAGCGAAAUUCCUUGUCGGGUAAGUUCCGACCUGCACGAAUGGCGUAACGAUGGCGGCGCUGUCUCCACCCGAGACUCAGUGAAAUUGAAAUCGCUGUGAAGAUGCAGUGUAUCCGCGGCUAGACGGAAAGACCCCGUGAACCUUUACUAUAGCUUUGCACUGGACUUUGAAUUUGCUUGUGUAGGAUAGGUGGGAGGCUUUGAAGCGUGGACGCCAGUCUGCGUGGAGCCAACCUUGAAAUACCACCCUGGCAACUUUGAGGUUCUAACUCAGGUCCGUUAUCCGGAUCGAGGACAGUGUAUGGUGGGUAGUUUGACUGGGGCGGUCUCCUCCUAAAGAGUAACGGAGGAGUACGAAGGUGCGCUCAGACCGGUCGGAAAUCGGUCGUAGAGUAUAAAGGCAAAAGCGCGCUUGACUGCGAGACAGACACGUCGAGCAGGUACGAAAGUAGGUCUUAGUGAUCCGGUGGUUCUGUAUGGAAGGGCCAUCGCUCAACGGAUAAAAGGUACUCCGGGGAUAACAGGCUGAUACCGCCCAAGAGUUCAUAUCGACGGCGGUGUUUGGCACCUCGAUGUCGGCUCAUCACAUCCUGGGGCUGAAGCCGGUCCCAAGGGUAUGGCUGUUCGCCAUUUAAAGUGGUACGCGAGCUGGGUUUAGAACGUCGUGAGACAGUUCGGUCCCUAUCUGCCGUGGACGUUUGAGAUUUGAGAGGGGCUGCUCCUAGUACGAGAGGACCGGAGUGGACGAACCUCUGGUGUUCCGGUUGUCACGCCAGUGGCAUUGCCGGGUAGCUAUGUUCGGAAAAGAUAACCGCUGAAAGCAUCUAAGCGGGAAACUUGCCUCAAGAUGAGAUCUCACUGGAACCUUGAGUUCCCUAAAGGGCCGUCGAAGACUACGACGUUGAUAGGUUGGGUGUGUAAGCGCUGUGAGGCGUUGAGCUAACCAAUACUAAUUGCCCGUGAGGCUUGACCAU